UUUCAGAGUCAUCUCUGAAUAAGCUUGUUGGUGCUGCGGAUAUAUAUAACUUGGAGGAGAUGGAACCCCCAAGCUCACUAAUUUGCAAGUUAAAGCCUUACCAGAAACAAGCACUCUACUGGAUGUCGGAAGCAGAGAGGGGACUUGAUGCUGAGAAAGCAGCAAAAACUCUUCAUCCAUGCUGGGCAGCAUAUCGUAUAUGCGAUGAGAGGGCUUCCUCAAUCUAUUUGAACAUCUUCUCUGGAGAGGCAACCACACAAUUUCCAACUGCAACACAAAUGGCCAGAGGAGGAAUUCUUGCGGAUGCAAUGGGUCUUGGAAAGACUGUGAUGACAAUUGCUCUAAUACUUGCAAGAACUGGCAAGGGAAGUACUGAGAGCCAAGAAAGCACAAGUAAUAAGAAAGAAAAAACCUGGCCUAAGGCAAAGGGUGGCACUCUUGUUGUGUGUCCCAUGGCUUUGCUAGGUCAAUGGAAGGAUGAGCUUGAAACCCAUGCAGAAACAGAAAGUAUUUCCAUUUUUGUUCACUAUGGUGGUGACAGAACGAAGGAUUCCAGGGUUAUCUCUGGAUAUGAUGUAGUCUUGACAACUUAUGGUGUCCUGACGGCAUCAUAUAAAUCUGAUUUGGAGAACAGCAUUUUCCAUAGGGUAGAGUGGUAUAGGGUGGUGCUAGAUGAAGCUCAUACCAUUAAAUCCUGGAAAACAAUAGCUGCUCAAGCUGCUUUUGCAUUAUCCUCGCACUGCCGGUGGUGUCUCACAGGGACACCUCUUCAGAAUAACUUGGAAGAUCUGUAUAGCCUUCUGUGCUUCUUGCAUGUUGAACCUUGGUGCAACUGGGCGUGGUGGAACAAGUUGAUUCAGAGGCCUUAUGAGAACGGUGAUCCAAGAGGGCUGAAGUUGAUCAAGGCUAUUUUGAGGCCACUAAUGUUGAGAAGAACCAAGGAUACGAAGGAUAAAGCAGGAAGGCCCAUACUUGUUCUCCCACCAACUGAUAUUCAAAUCAUUGAAUGUGAACACUCUGAAGCCGAACAUGAUUUCUAUGAUGCCCUUUUCAGAAGAUCAAAGGUCCAGUUUGACCAGUUUGUGGCGCAAGGGAAGGUUCUCCACAACUAUGCAUCUAUUCUUGAGCUAUUACUUCGAUUGAGGCAGUGUUGCAACCACCCAUUUCUUGUUAUGAGUCGAGCUGAUUCGCAACAGUACGCGGACUUGAGCAAGCUUACAAGAAGGUUCCUGGAAACAAAUGCCAAUUCUGCUCCUCCAGGACAGACAGGCCCCACCCGAGCAUACAUUGAAGAGGUUGUUAAGGGCAUCCGGCAGGGUGAAAAUACUGAGUGUCCCAUAUGCAUGGAGUAUGCAGAUGAUCCUGUGCUCACACCAUGCGCACAUAGGAUGUGCAGGGAGUGUAUCCUGUCAAGCUGGCGAGCCCCUACAACUGGGCUAUGCCCAAUUUGCAGAACUUUGCUGAAGAAAACCGAACUCAUAACAUGCCCAACAGAGGACAAAUUCCGAGUUGAUGUGGAGAAGAACUGGAAGGAGUCUUCAAAGGUUUCAAAGCUCUUGGAAUGCUUGGAACGGAUUCGCAGAUCAAGUUCUGGUGAGAAGAGCAUUGUGUUCAGCCAGUGGACUUCUUUUUUGGACCUCCUAGAGAUUCCAUUGAGAAGGAGAAGAAUUGGGUUCUUAAGGUUUGAUGGAAAACUAGUGCAGAAGCAAAGGGAGAGGGUCUUGAAGGAGUUCAAUGAAACCGAAGAAAAAACGGUAUUGUUGAUGUCCUUGAAAGCUGGUGGUGUUGGCCUGAAUCUAACAGCUGCCUCCAAUGUCUUCUUAAUGGAUCCAUGGUGGAAUCCUGCAGUGGAGGAGCAAGCAAUAAUGCGAAUUCAUCGCAUAGGACAAAAGCGAACAGUUACUGUUAGAAGAUUCAUUGUGAAGGACACGGUGGAGGAACGGCUGCAACAAGUUCAGGCGAAAAAGCAGCGGAUGA
rnacentral:misc_RNA from 1 species